AAUCAGCAAUUCUCCAGAGGACGAUGCCACGCAGAUCCCUAUGUCGCAGAUGAGUGCUCUCUUUGCAGACACCUCUGGUGACAUGAAUGAUGUCCUUGACCAUCCUAUUGCUGGGAGUUCUGGUGCAAAUGAAGGCUCCACACCCCUGCCCAUGAUGGAACUGACUUCACCAGAGCGGAGAAUGACUGCUGACAGGCGGCGUGUGCGACGUGUU